rnacentral:lncRNA from 10 species
AUGGGAGUGUUCAUGGGUACCAAGCUUCUGCAUUCUGCACACAAGCCCAUCUGCACAAGGAAAAGGUCUGGUUUAUCUUGCACAUAAAAACUGAAGGUAUGAAUAGAUCUUAGAAUGUAAGGUUUGGUCUACAGCCGUACCACCCUGAACAUUCCCGAUCUCAUCUGAUCUCAAAACCUAGGCAGGUCGGGCUUGGUUAGUACUUGGUGGAAGAAUGUAAAGUUUGAUUUGUUUUUGUAAAACAAUUUUUUAAAUAAUUACCUUUAUGAUGGAUAUGCUAAUUACUCUGAUUUGACCACUACACAUUAUUUGUAUCAAAUAACACUAUGUACCCCAUAAAUAUGUACAAUUACUAUGUGUCAAUUAAAAAGUAAAUAAUAGAAAAUAAAAUAACAAUUACUUUUAUUAUUUUAUUCCUAUUAAGAGUAAAAACAUGUUCAUUGUAGAAAAGAGAGAUGUUAAAAAAAAAAAGAAAAAUAUCCAUAGGAAAUUGUAGCAUGAUGGAAUGAGGAGGUCUAUAAAUCCUCUUCCCCAAAAAUGAAUCACAGGCUGGGUGCGGUGGCUCAUGCCUGUAACCCCAACACUUUGGGAGGCCGAGGUGGGUGGAUCAUCUAAGGUCAGGAGUUUGAGACCAGCCUGGUCAACAUAGUGAAACCCCAGCUCUACUAAAAAUACAAAAAUUAGCUGGGCGUAGUGGCGGGCGCCUAUAAUCCCAGCUACUUGGGAGGCUGAGGCAAGAGAAUCACUUGAAGCCAGGAGGCAGAGGUUGUAGUGAGCCGAGAUCGCCUCACUGCACUCCAGCCUGGGUGACAAGAGCGAGACUCCUGCUCAAAAAAAAAAAAAAAAAAAAAAGGAAUCACACAGUCAGAUACUGCUGUCAAAAAGCAACCACUUCAGCACCCUGAAGUCAUUGAAAGGCAGAUAACAAACAGAAGUUCCUAAAAAUGACUGAACUGCAGAAAAGAACACUAAGCUCUGGGUGGUUGUUGCCUGGGCUGCCCCCUCCUUCUCUAACUCUGUCAGUGUGGUAGUUCCACCAGGGCAGGGCAGGCUGUGAAAACCAGAAGUUUUGUGGCUGCUGAUGGGCAAGGAUCACUUGAUUUAGAGCACUGUUAAGGUGACGAUUUUGGUGGCAAGCAAACAAGGAAGACCAGUGGUCCCCUAGUCUGAGAUAAUGAGCCUGUUUGGGGUAAUCGAUGCACUGACUGGCAAACUGGCCAAGGAUUUAACAUGGAGUUCCAGGAGGUAAUUCAAUGAUAGGGGCUUGAUAGCUCUCCACAUAGCCUUAGUUGACAGGAGGCUAUGCACAUAAGCAACAUAAACCAGAGUAGGCCCAAGCCACCCACACCGCCCUGGCUGAUGGGAACUACACAUAGAGAACUGCAAGAGAGCUCGGCAUAGAGUAAAAGCUGGGGCUGGAAAACAGCCUUGAGUUUCAAUGUUACCCAGCCAACACACAGAUCCAUCAGCAGGGAGUGGAGGCUUUCCUGGAUGGAGCUGCCUGUGUACAAUCUCUGGC